CCUACGGGGGGCUGCAGUGGGGAAUAUUGCACAAUGGGGGAAACCCUGAUGCAGCGACGCCGCGUGAAGGAAGAAGGUUUUCGGAUCGUAAACUUCUAUCAGCAGGGAAGAAGAAAGUGACAGUACCUGACUAAGAAGCCCCGGCUAACUACGUGCCAGCAGCCGCGGUAAUACGUAGGGGCCAAACGUUGUCCGGAUUUAUUGGGCGUAAAGGGCUCGUAGGCGGUUCAACAAGUCGGUCGUGAAAACCCGGGGCUCAACCCCGGGACGCCGGUCGAAACUGUUGUGACUAGGGUCCGGUAGAGGUGAGUGGAAUUCUCGGUGUAGCGAUGGAAUGCGCAGAUAUCGAGAGGAACACCAGUAGCGAAGGCGGCUCACUGGGCCGGUACCGACGCUGAGGAGCGAAAGCAUGGGGAGCAAACAGGAUUAGAUACCCUGGUAGUC
rnacentral:rRNA from 1 species